AAUGCUUCUCGGCUUUUUGGCUAAGAUCAAGUGUAGUAUCUGUUCUUUUUAGUUUAAUUUGCCUUUUAAAACGCUCCUUUUGUGGGGAGAAGGGCACAAGCAAAUUUUGGGCUUAAUUGUGAGCCCUU
rnacentral:snRNA from 1 species